AAAAGUUAAUUUAUUUCCUUAUCGAUCGCUUUGGAGAUUUUUUGGAUACGAUCUGUGUAUUAUUAGAUUUUUGGAUAGUCUCGUUUUGAGGUUAGUGCGUCGCCCUUUCUCCUAACUAUAGUGAGGGUUAACAGUUAGAUAUUUUUGUGUGGGAUUUUUCGGUAUUCCUCUCGCUCUAUCUCUCUCAUUGUGUGCCGGCUGCUUCUGUUGAAAAACUUGUUGUGCCGCCGCUGCCGCCGCCGCUGCCUCUGCCCGCGCACACACAAAAAGACGAACGAAACGAAACGGGGCCUGCCUCGAGAGUGUGUCUCUGUCGACGACUCUGGAGAUUAAAGAGCAGCAGCAGCAGCAGCAGCAGCAGCAGCAGAACGAACCCCCGUAUGAGUAAGCGAGCGCGUUUCGCAAGGCCAGCGGUUCGGGCGGUUUGUGUGGGUGCGAACGAGAUGGCCAGCCUAACAAUGUGUGCUCUUCCAAUCGCCCGGGCUCGCCAUUUCUCACUCACACGAUUGUACGCUUUCCGCUCGCUUGUGCUGCUGCUGCUUAUUUGGCAGCGACGUCGCCGUUUUCGUCAUUCCCGCCUUGCGCUUUUUCCCUGUUGUUUUAUUAUUGUUAUCAAUAUUAUAGCAUUUCUGUGGCGAUGCCCUACAGGGGAGCGAUUGGGCAGCUUUGUUUUGCUGGUUGAUGGAAACUAUUUGUGGUAACAACUGGAAAUAAUCGCAUGAUUGGAACGGUUCUCCACUCUAAAUUGGUUGGAAAAAGUUCUCAUAUAUUUAAUGAUUUUAAAAAAUUAAUACAUAAGAUACAAAUAUUUGAGAUUAAAACUAACCUAUGUACAUAUGUGAAUUUUAGAUGAAAUCCAAAUUAAAUAAAUGUACAAAAAAUUAUUGGGCUAUCACUUUAA